ACCAUGAUCGAUACGAGUUGGAUUACCAAAGCUGUCGACGAUAUAAGCGGUAAGUUUAAUAAUGUUUUGUUGAAUGACAGAUGACAAUCUUUACAUAAUAUGUACUUCGGGCAAUCUCUAAAAAUAAAUUUUAAAAUAAAUCGUUGCAAUAAAAUACAAUUUUCAAAUCAAUUAUUAUCUAGUCGGUUUUAACAAAUAGUAAAAUGUAGAAAAAGCUUUAUUUCCUAACCUACAGCUCCCUUUCAAUGGUUCCACUUCUGUGAUCCAAUCAUUAAUUGUGUUUAUUUAAAACAUUAAAUAACUGGAAAAUCACAUUAAACACCGUCAAAGUUUUAUUCAAUGGUUGUUUAAACCACCACAAAUUCGCGCCGUUCAUGGCACAACCGGUUCGGUCAAUUGUGCGUCGGGUGCGAACUUUACGCACACGUCUCCACCCCGCUGCCGCUUAAGGCUAUCGCGACACCGGUGUGCAUGCUCGCCGACUCCGCCGUUACGGCCGCCUCUGUUUUGUUCUUUUCCAGCGGUCGACCACAACGGUCGAUAUACCUUUUUUGCUGGCCGUGGGCCUCGCGUAUCGUCACCGCAGUUGCGUUUUUUUCGCGUCUUGUUCGGACCACGUGGUCGACGAGGUUUUUUGUGCGUUGUUGCCAUAAAUUACGCAUAGUUGCGUUGCUGUGCUGGUGUUCAUACACCAAAAUUAUUAUAUUAUAUUCGUUCGUGUGCGUCGUGUAACGUGCUGUCCGAGAAAACACGUGUUUAAACGAGCUCUUCUGUGUGUUGUCGCCACAGAAUCUCACACGGUGUUUUUCGUCACCGGGUGUGACGCGCUCAUCUCAAUACAAUCAUCAUUGUUCCAGCGUUCCGGACCACAAGGCAGAGCUCGGGCGGUGUCGGUAUCGUUAAACUCCUUUUUUUGUAUUAUCAUAAUUGUAUUGUUUGAUUUAUUGUAAUCGUUACAUAUCCAAAUUAUUUAUUUUAUUAUUAUCUCAUGGGCACCCACCUUGAUUAGGAUUUUUAGGCCGUUUGUAUUUAUUAUUAUUAUUAUUAUUAUUAUUUGAUUAUUAUAUUUUUAGCGCCCGGCAAACGCGGGACGCAUAAUGUUAAUUUCGGCGUUUUCUAUGAUUUAUAUUAUAAGUUUAUUCAGUUAGGAAUAUAUUUGUGGUCACCUUCUACUAUCCCCUAUUCGAGUGCGUGAUAAAAGUGUUGUCUGCGACCGCACUUAUUACGUGCCAAAACAAUGGUAUAGCAUAUAUGGAUUUGUAAUCAUUACCUACUGCUAUUAAUCCAAUAAUCUUAAAAAGUAAAGUUUGUAAAGUUAACUGAUUCAGACGAAUAAGUAAAUAACAAAUGUAUAAAGUAUCAAGAUAAAAUAUAAUUUACAUCAAUGUAAUAUUUACACUAAAACUAUAUUUAAUUAUAAUAAUAACUGUAAAAAUUGUUUUCAAUAAAUAUAUACAUACUAUAGGGACGAUUUGACUUCCAAAAAUAGUACAAAACGACUCUCCAAACAGAUAAACGACCUGUGCGUUUUUCAGUAUCAACUUGCGAAUACGUUUGUCGCCGGCUUGAAUAGAUCUGUCAUAUUUAGUAGACCAAACUUGGUUUACAAGCUCAAAUCGUCUCUACGUCAGUGUUAAUAAUUUUUAUUAAACAAAAAAGUUUUCAUUUAUUACGAACAUACAAUUUCCAUUUUUGUGGCUUGGUGUGGUGCGAUCGUACACUCAACUGCGGAAAGCUCCGAGUGUACAUAUCGGCCGGUGUUGCUAGCUCCCGGAUGGGUGACCACCCGAGAUUUUAGUGACAAAUUCUUGCCACUCAUACAAACAAACGUGUUUCAACCUACCGUUCCACCCCCCUACAAACGAAUUAAAACCAUCCAAUGGCCUUUGUUGCCGCGGAUUAAUUAAUAAAUAAUAAAAAAAAAUUUUCAUUCUCAUGUAUUCGAGUAUUCCUAAAAAUAAAUAGUCAAUACACUGCAGAACAAGAAAAGAAUCCGGAAGUUACAGUUAUAUAUAGUUAUAUACUAGUGAAUUAAUUUCCAGCUGCAUAUACGGUUUAAGGAAUGCUUAGUAGAGGAAUUUUUAUGUUAUAGAAGUUUACGAAUUCCUUGAUAAUAAUUCCUCCUGUAGGAGAAGGUAAUAUAAAUAAUAUAUUAGACUAACGGUCCUUCUCAUCAUUACCUGGUAAUUAUUUUUAUUACAUAAGUAAUUUCCGAAAAAAAGUUUUAUAAAUAAUAUUUUUAUAUUUUUAUUUUAUUCAAUAAUAAGUAUAUAUCAUACGCCAAUAUGGUUUACUUACUACCUAUAUAUUACUAUAGUUACAAAGUUAAUAAUAUAUUAUGUUGCCACGGGCCACGGCUUAUUUUUAAUAAAAUAUUUAGUUUUGUUUAGUUAUACUACUAUAGAUAAUUAGUUGAAUACGUUCUUAAAAAUAUGUUAAUCUAAUUAUAAUUAUUACUGCAUAUAUUAUAAUUACGGUAAUAAUAACCUACGGUGCUACAAUUUUUUCACCAUUUGGUAACGAUCUACGAACAUUCCAUUUAAUACAAGUUACUUUUUGGUAUUCUGAUAUCCAUUCAUCAAUAUCUUCGAUAUUGAGUAAGUUACUGGAGUACACCGCUGAUUGGUUGUAGCUGUAGUGAACGCUGGAUGUUCGCCGUCCAGACCGGCCCUGUCCCAGCUGCUACAUAAGUUUUCGUUUUUUAGCCUUGUCGCUGCCACUAGUUGUUUCUAGAAAGGACGGUGAGUACAAUGCAAUUUUAUUUAUUAAAAUAGAAGAAUACUAUAACGGAAAAAAUUGUAGAAGCUGUUCGGUGUGUUGAGUUAUCAAACUAUAUAUGCGCGUGUUUAUUGCUUAAUUUUUUCCGUGUGUGCUACUGAUCGACACCCGUUUACAGACAGUUAAUAGUUUAUAAUAAUUAUAAGAUAGUUAAAUUAACAAUUAUUCAAACAUUUCAAACAAUCAUAAUUCUGUAGUGGGCCAACAAUUAGGUGUAUUGAUAAAGUAUGAACUAUGAAGUACCUAGUCGUGUCGAAUGAAGGAAAAUGUUAAAAAUAUUACUUAGUGCUUUAGAUUCUGAAUAAAGUGAGGAAUAUAUUGAUUUUACAAUGUGUGUUUUUUUAUUUUAUUUUUUACUUUUUUGUCUGUCAUCAUGUUUUGGAGUAGUAAUAAUGCUUCGAUUUUCGACUUCAGCCCCUCUUUGAAAAGGUCAUCUAGUUAGUACUUGGGGGGGGGGGAGGUGAAAAGUAAAAAAUUUCCAGUAGUUUUCAAAAGCGUCGGGAAAAACCUUGAAAAAAUAACGGAAAAACGGGAAUUUUUACGCAUAACCAUUAUUCAUUUUGAUUUUGCUGUAACUCAAAAAUGAAUAAUUGUAAAUACUUAUAAUUUCCACAAAAUGUUUAUGUUAUGGUUAUCUAUUUACGAUUAAAUUUUCAAAAUAUUUUGACUUUUACUACUAAUUUAGCUACUAAUAGACAAUUGAAAUUUUCGACUUUUUUAAGUUUUUUUCUUAAAAUGCCGAUAAAAAUAUUUGGCUAUCCAAAUAUUUUUAAAAUUUAAUACAAGGUUUAUUAUAAGUUAUACUUAUCGUGGUAAAAAAAAAACAAAAAAUUGUUCCGAUGCGUAAAACACCGGUCACCGAUUAGCUCAAUUAUAUAAAUUAUAAAAUAAAUGUUUUUCGUCUUUAAAACACAACAAUGUACGUUGAUUUAAGAAUUUCAUUUUGAGAAAGCAAAAACUGCACACGGGCGAAGCCGGGUAAUUCAUCUAGUACAAAAUAAAAUAAUAUAAACAAAACGGUACGCGCGUAGUGAAAAUAGCGCGGUGUCGUAUCUAUAACGGAAGCACUUUUAGUAUCAUUAAAUUAUUAACAUGUUAAUGUUAAACCAUGUACAUACUUUAUUUUCUAAUCUUUGUUUUAACGCAUAAUCAAUCAUUUUUCCAUUACUAAACACGAAUUAAUUAUAUUACACUUUUGCACUCAAGUUGAAACGUUUUUUAAUUUCUUAGAUUGUUUGCUACCAAUUAUUUUGUGAAAAAUGUUGGCCAAAAUUGUGCAAAAUAUAUGGAAAAGUUUACCAUUAAGUCGCCCUUGUAUGUCCCAGAUUCAAACUAUAGCAACGUUACCUUCUCUCACAUUUGAGUAUAAAGAUUUGGAACCAAUUAUAUCACGAGACAUUAUGAAAAUUCAUCACCAAAACCAUCAUAAAACUUAUAUAGAAAACUACAACAAAACACUAGAUCAAUUACGGACUGCUGUAGCAAAAGACGAUACAGCGAAAAUCAUCAGCUUGGCACCUGCACUUAAGUUCAAUGGUGGUGGUCAUAUUAAUCAUUCUAUUUUCUGGGAUACACUUACACCUCAUUCAACUAAGCCUUCUAAUGAUUUGGAUAAGGCUUUAAUCCAAAACUUUGGUUCAUAUGAUGAAUUUAAAAAAGAAUUAGCUGCAGCUUCUAUUGCAGUACAAGGCUCAGGAUGGGGUUGGCUUGGGUGUAAUCCUCAAACUAAGAAGUUGAUAGUAAAAAGUUGUGCUAACCAAGAUCCACUAUUUCCAACUACUGGAUUGAUUCCUUUGUUUGGAAUUGAUGUUUGGGAACAUGCUUACUACUUGCAAUAUAAAAAUGUUCGUGCUGAUUAUGUCAACGCAAUUUUUGAAGUUGUGAAUUGGGAUGCCGUGUCCAAACGUUUUGCUGAAGCUUUUGCAGAAUGCCGUAUAAUAUCGGCAUAAUUUAAUAUCAUAAUAUAUUGUACGCGCGUUCCGGUUACAAUAGGUGUUGCCGAUCGACACACGAACACACACACAAACACUCACGCGCAUCAGCCGCUAAUUUUAUAUUUAUUUUUGUCUUCUUUAUUAUACCUAAUUAUUAUUGUCUCGUGAAUUAUAGAAUAUUGUAUUACGUAAAUUACGACGGCGUGUUAUCUGCCGCCGUAAAGGCUUGCCGAUUCGCGCAGUUUAACACGGCCGCCGUAAUUUUCUCCAGUCUUGCUCGUACCAUCGAGGUUGUUCUAAAACACGUAAAAUUAUAUUUACGUAUGAGUUUUUGUUGAAUUUCUUUUAUUAUAAAUUGCAAGGCGCGAAUCGCCACUAUAUAGUAUAUCGUUAUAUUUUAUAGGCGCAAAUCGCCACAUUUUUUAUUAUAAUUAUUUAUUAACGCUAAGCGCAACAUUUUUUAUUUACAAUAUUAUAUUGAUAGGCGCUAAUCGCCGCAUUUUUUAUUAUAUUAAUUUAAUUUGUGUAAUUAUUAUAUAGCGGUAUAGGUGCAGCUGGCCAGCCGUGUACCGACAAUUUGUGAGUUUUAUAUCAUUAUUUAUUUAUAUUUUAUAUUGGUUGUGCCCAAUCGGCAUUAAGUUGACAAUUAUAUUAUACAUUAUUAUUUUAUAUUUAGCGGUAUAAUAUUACUUAUUACUUAUUUAUUAAUCUUAGGUUGUGCUGAACCGGCAAUUAUAUUUUAUACAUUUUUUAUUGUUGGGCCGAAAGGGCCGUAAUUAUUUAUUAUCAUAUUAUAUAUUUUUUACCAUACCUCCAAUUUGAGUUACCAUUUAAUCAAAGUUACCUAUUUGUCCUUAGUUUUUAAGAUUACACACAGUACACACAAAUAUAGACACACACACACCAUCACCACCCACAUACUAGCACUCACAGGUUUUGCUCAGCGACCCUGUCCAACUUUUGUUGAGUAUGCUAUAUACAUUAUACUCAUUUACACAGGUCGGUCGGUGUGUGCGUGCCGUUCCACGAAGCAUAAGGUAACCGGGCGCGCAUAUUAUUAACUUACGCUCCCGAACCGUACAUAUUUAAAUUUAAACAAUUAAAUAUGUACUGUUUAUGUAUUCCUGUAAAUACUGUUAAUUUUCAAUUAAAAUAUACUAAUAGAAAAAAAAAACAAACACCAACGACCCGAUCCAGCAGGUGGCAGAACAGUGAUCCUGCAAACCACGGGAGCGGACCCAGGCUGAACUGCAGCCAGAGUUAGGCGCAGGCCUUUGGAGCAGCUGCGGCGAGACCCGUCGUUGUGCUCAGCUUACGUUCGGGGAUGGGAAGACCGAACAGCCGACGUCCACAGGAGUCUGAGGGCGUUCCAGCCGUCAUCCACGCGUCCGUCAGCAGCGGACCGGCCAACGGAGGACCACGGCACCAGCGACAGUGGCCAGCAUUGUCGCAGCACUACGGCCGACACCCCCACCGACACCUUCAACACAUCAAACACGUCUCAAUUUUGCAACCGUUAUUUUGAUUGUGCUCAUCUUUUGUACUACACGUACAAGAUACAUCGCCGUAACCAGUCACCUUGUGUACUCGUUAUCCACAUCUCAAUAAGCCUAAUAACUAAAAAAACCUCGUGCGUUUGUGUCUCCGCACCCCAAUUCUACGAUUCGGUGUCUUGUCGUCGUUAUUCCGCCAUUGUUUUGUGUUUGGCCGUCUAAAGCUCAUCCGAGCUGAUCGUCGUUUCGCGCCCUGUCGUGUUCGCGGUCAUAGUGUUUUUUGGCUCGCUUGCCACCCGGCUUAUUGUAUUUUGUGCCGUCACCCGUCCGUCUUACGCAGUGCGACCCGUGUAGUGCACCCCUUUUCGCUUUUCGCGUAUUGUUCGCCCGCAACGCCGAGUUCGCCGUGCGAACACGUUCAAAUAUACUCAGCCAUUUUGUCUUUUGUACCGCGGUCUACGCCGUGACAACGGACGCUCACGCGCAACGGUUCGCGUCGUCGAGUUCGCGACCGUUAUUGUUAUCCGAGCACGCGUCGUCCGGUGGUUCUAUAUUUUCCACGCCCGUUCUAUUCGAGUAAUCACCCGUACACAUCGUCGUUGACCCAUUUCGUCGUGAUCAACAUUUGCACAGUUGUCGCAGCUCCAAUCAGUGUCCCCGACGGUUAUCAUCGAUCCGUUAUCACGUUGUCAACAUCAACAUCGCCGGUUAUCAGAUCGUACACGCAAAUUAUUAUUUGACUUAUUAUCCGACGCUGUAUUUUGUACUAUUUCUAUCUAUUCAAUCGUUCUCCGCCGAUCGACUUGUGAUCGUGCUUAUAUACUAACCCUAGUACGUAAGAUUAAUUUUCAGAACCGACGCAAUAAAUUUAUAUAUAUUAUCAGUCGUAAAAUUCUAUUGUUUUUAUAUUUGUGUUAGGGUGCCUUCACUCAUCAUCGUUAGUUGUAUUAUUGCUAUAGGAAUUAACCAGCCUCUUCAUUUCCCCAUUAAGUUAUACAGUCCACGUUCUCCCUCCUUACAGUGUUAUCGAACUAUUUGUCGCAGUAACAAAUAAAAUAAUCGCACACGACGGGUUACGUGUAGACUGCCGUCGGUACUGGUCUGUUAUCGCCCCGCCACGGGAACGAAAAAUUUUAUCGACCCGCC